rnacentral:rRNA from 1 species
AUUGAACGCUGGCGGCAGGCCUAACACAUGCAAGUCGAGCGGACGAAGGGAGCUUGCUCCUGGAUUCAGCGGCGGACGGGUGAGUAAUGCCUAGGAAUCUGCCUGGUAGUGGGGGAUAACGUCCGGAAACGGGCGCUAAUAUCGCAUACGUCCUGAGGGAGAAAGUGGGGGUUCUUCGGACAUCACGCUAUCAGAUGAGCCUAGGUCGGAUUAGCUAGUUGGUGGGGUAAAGGCCUACCAAGGCGACGAUCCGUAACUGGCCUGAGAGGAUGAUCAGUCACACUGGAACUGAGACACGGUCCAGACUCCUACGGGAGGCAGCAGUAGGGAAUAUUGCGCAAAGGGCGAAAGCCUGACGGAGCAAUGCCGCGUGAGUGAUGAAGGUCUUCGGAUUGUAAAACUCUGUUAUUAGGGAAGAACAAAUGUGUGAGUAACUAUGCCUGUUUUGACGUUACCAACACAGAAAGCACCGGCUAACUACGUG